ACCAUGCCGGUGGGCUACUGAAGCAUCAACUUCAAUAAUGGUGACCCUAGAGCUAGCUAGUUUAGUUUGCUACGGUUUGGGGGUGCUUUGGGUUUCAAUUCACUACAGCAGAAGCACCAUUAUUUUGCCUUUUUCAGUUAGAUGCCUUUGGAUUGUUUGGCUUUUGGUAGAUGCAGAGUAUAGAUUAAGUAUUCCAUAAAAUUCACCACAUGAGUAUACUACUUAAUAGCCAAUUUUCGUGGUCAAAUUCAGCCCUGGAUGCAAAUGGACAUCAUGAUUCUGUUAUGCACCGAGGUCGGUGGUCGAAUUCUCGAUUGGUGUGGAACACCAUGGACAGGGCAAAAUCAGUGUGCUUUGAAACGUAGGGCGAAUCUUGUGGAGGAGUAGGGCGAAUCGGACAUUGUCUCGCUUGUGCUGCUGUGAUAACAUGUUGAAUGUUGUUCAUGCGACUGUGUAUGAAUCUUCUGUACGUGCAGAUUAUCAGGCAUUAUUUAAUGCUGUUGGGGGUGUAACAAAGUGUUUGAACCAACAACAGAAAAAUCAGUUUGAUGUAUGGAUGCUUCAUGCGGUGGUAGCUAAUGAUCUCUGUACUGAUGACAGUUUUCUGAUCAGGAUCUAAUGUCGUCGAGGUGGCUGCUACUCUUACCGAAGAUCAGAAGAAGCCUGGAUAUGUGCACCAAGUUUUAGUUGAUGUUGCCACCAAGUUUUGGUUCAUGUGUAUUUGUUUUUUGAUUGUAUGUACACUUGUUGGAUCGUGCAGUAUGUGCUAUUGUACAUGUGCUAUUGUGAGUUUCGUUGAUAGAUUUUUGGAUUUGAUCAUUUAAUUGAGAGAAUGUUUGACUGUUUGCUGUUGAAAUGUGUAAAUUUGAA